CAUCUGGGGGAUGGCUCGGCUCGAGUGCCGACGAAGGUCGUGACAAGCUGCGAAAAGCCACGGGGAGGUGCAUGAGUGCCUUGGAUCCGUGGAUCGCUGAAUGGGACUUCCUGAACCUCAGGGUUCAAUCGCUUAUGCGAUAGGGAACCCCCUGAACUGAAGCAUCUCAGUAGGGGGAGGAAAAGAAAUCAAAAGAGAUUCCGUGAGUAGGGGCGACCGAAAACGGAAUAGGACAAACCGAAUCUCUUAUGGAAACAUUUGAGACAUGUGGUGUUUGGCCCACUUUUUGCCUACGUCAACGAAGGAGAAGUCGUCUGGAAUGACGCAUCCAUAGAGGGUGAGAGUCCCGUAUCUGUAGUUGAUAUGGCCACGUAGUGAGGCCGGAGUAGUGUGCGUUGGAUAUCGCGCAUGAAUAAGGGAGGCAGAAACUUCCAAUCCUACAUACAGCUCGAGACCGAUAGUAGACGAGUAACGUGAGUGAAAGCUGAAAAGAAUCCUUAGCGGGAUGUGAAAAGAACCUGAAACCAGAUGGGCACAGGCUGACAGGGCGUGAAAGCGAAGAUAUGAGCAGCGUCCUGUCUUGCGUUUCGAAAAAUGCCCCAGGGAGUCUUGAUCAUUGGCGAGGUUAAGUGGUUGAUCCACGAAGCCGUAGGGAAACCGACAAGUCCGCAGCAGUUUACUGUGAGGGACGAAGUGUGCUCGCUUGGAGUCAAUGGUGGAGGACCUGAAGCCUGUCGAUCUAUGCCUGGCCAGAUUGAAGCCCGGUGAAAACUGGGUGGAGGAUCGAACCGUUGCUGAUCUGCAAAUCGCUCGGACGAGCUGGGUAUAGGGGUGAAAGUCCAAUCGAGAUAGGCAAUAGCAGGUUCCGCGUGAAACUACUCGUAGGUAGACGUCCGUGGAGAUAGACUGCGCUGUAGAGCACUGAUUGUGUGUUUAGGGGGAGCGAUUCCUCGGCAUGCUGCCAAACUCCGAAGGUGCAGUCGUCAAAGAAACGGGCAGUGAGUGAUGGUGGGUAAGCUACCAUUACGCAAGGUGAACAUACCAGCCUAAAGUUAAGGUCCCAAAAUUCCGAUUAAGUGUCACAGACAAACCGUGUCCGUGGUCGAAAACAACCAGAAGGUGGGCUUAGAGGCAGCCAUCCUUGAAAGAGUUCGUAACAGAUCACUGGUCUAGCUUGCGGGCCGGGAAAAUGGACGGGACUUAAAUCGGGUACCGAUACUUUAGACCGCCGAAAGGCGAUGUGGUAACGCGGCGUAGUGCUUGGGUGGAAGCGAGGUUUUGAGAUCUCGUGGACCGAGUACUAAUGAGAGUCCUGGGAAUAGUAGCAGCACAGUGUGGUGAGAAUCCGCACCGCCGAAGGGGCCAGGGUUCCUCGGCACUGUUUAUCAGCCGAGGGUUAGCCGGUCCUAAGGUCAUUCUUAACCGAGAUGAUCGAAAGGGAAUUGCGUUAAUAAUCGUAAGCCCCUCAUACAACAUAAGGUAACAGCUUGGGCUAGACUGCCGCAUCAUAUGUCAGGUGCGCGAAGCGUCCAUAAUCUUCUGGAGGACCGUCAUGGUGAGAAGGAAGAGAAGUCGUGAGAUCAAAGCAGUUGAGGCCUAGGUUCCGUGAAAAGCCGUAUGAGGUGACCGUACCGAGAACUGACACAGGUGCCCCUGGGUGAGUAGCCUAAGGCGUCUCGGCUUCAAGUAUCGCGAGGGAACUCGGCAAAAUCGCCCCGUAACUUCGGGAGAAGGGGUGCCAGCUCAGAGAUGAGCUGGUCGCAGUGACCAGGGAGCUCCGACUGUUUAAUAAAAACAUAGGCGACUGCCAGUUCGAAAGGAUGAGUAUAGUCGCUGAAUCCUGCUCAGUGCUGGUAUCUGAAAUCGGGUUUCAACCUGACGAAGGACCAGUAAACAGCGGGGGUAACUAUGACCCUCUUAAGGUAGCGUAAUACCUUGUCGCUUAAUUGGCGACUUGCAUGAAUGGUCCAACGAGGGCUCCACUGUCCCCGCGAUACGUCCGGCGAAAUUGACUUUACUGGCGCACAGUCCAGUACCUUCUACCCGCAAGCGAAGACCCCAUAGAGCUUUACUGCAGCCUGUCGUUGCGUAGUCGCUUUCCACGUACUGAGUAGGUGGGAGACUUUGAUCCCAGGGACGUCAGUCCUUGGAGUAGUCGAACAUAGAGACACCACCCUUGGAAGGUAACUACGCUUACUCUUUAGAGGACACCGAUAGGUGGGCAGUUUGGGUGGGGCGCCACGCGCUCGAAAAGAUAACAAGCGUGCCCAAAGGCCAGCUCAGGUGGUUCAGCACUCCACCGUUGACUGUAAGGGGAAAAGCUGGCUUGACGUGGAUCCGCACAAUAAGGAUCGACGAUGUGAAAGCAGGGCCUAACGAACCUACCAGCCUCAUUUCUGGGGGCGGUAGAUAACAGAAAAGUUACCUUGGGGAUAAUUGAGUUGUCACCAGCAAGAGCUCACAUCGACCUGGUGGCUUGCUACUUCGAUGUCGUCUCUUCCUAUCCUGNNNNNNNNNNNNNNNNNNNNNNNNNNNNNNNNCAAGGGUGGGGUUGUUCGCCCAUUAAAAGGGAUCGUGAGAUGGGUUUAGACCGUCGUGAGACAGGUUUGUUGCUUGGCGGUAGAAGCGUGUAAGAUGUCUGAUGGAAGGGGUCCUUCAGUACGAGAGGAACGAGGACUCGGGGCCACUGGUCUACCAGUUGUCUGACAAGGCAAUGCUGGGUAGCUACGCCCUAAUGGAUAAGAGCUGAAAGCAUCUAAGCUCGAAGCCACCCCAAAGACUAGACAUCUCAGGGCACUCGUAAAAGACGAGUUUGAUAGACUGCGGAUGUACGCACGAAGGUUCGCCGACGUGUUCAGUCCAGCAGCACUAAUCGCCCG
rnacentral:rRNA from 1 species